GCCCAGGUAGCUCAACGGUAGAGCGCCUCACUUGUAAUGAGGGGGUUGGAGGUUCAAAUCCUCUCCUGGGCU
rnacentral:tRNA from 2 species